rnacentral:lncRNA from 1 species
CCUAAACAAAUUGUUUUAUUUAUUAUUUAUUUAUUUAGGUACUGGGGAUUGAACUCAGGGGCACUCAACCACUGAGCCACGUCCCCAGCUCUAUUUUGUAUUUUAUUUAGAGACAGGGUCUCACUGAGUUGCUUAGUGACUCACUUUUGCUGAGGCUGGCUUUGAACUCGUGAUCCUUCUGCCUCAGCCUCCCAGGUUGCUGGGAUUACAGGUGUAUGCCAAUGAGCCUGGCUUAAACAAAUUAUUUUAAAACUAAUUAGUUGCUCAACUGAAAAUCACAUAUGUACCUCUUAGUAGGGAGAAAUUGGUUCACACACUAAUUAAUCCCUGUUGUAAUCAUGAGUUUCUGCACCUGUUCUUGAGAAUGAAUCCUUGCUUUUUUGCUUAACUCUAUUAGCUUUUGCUUUUAUCUCUGGUAAUAUAGAUAUCUGUAACUAUGCCAAGACUUCCAAAUAACUGUUCAUAAUCACUGCCCACUGGGAGAAGCUCUCUUUUACCCCACUGAUUUCCUUUGAAUCUCUGCUCUACCCCAGGACUCAAAUGCAUAAAAAUUACUGAUCCUUCUGAAGAAAGGGAGGGACUGCAAAAAUGUAAGAGAAAGUACUUUUAAGUAUCCUUGGCAAAUGACCUUGCAAGGGUUUUAUGGAAGGUGUGAUGAGGGUGGGGAAGACCUGGGAAAAUAAAAACACUGUAUUGCUAAACCAUGCAUGUGUUCUUCAGCAUUAAAAUUACCCUUGCUGCUCAUUCCUAUAUGUGCCACAAGUUUCAUGAUACAAGAGCAUAUCACUUGCCUUACAUUUUCCUCUGUAUUAUAAACCCACAGAAUUGCAGUAAUAUGAACUGGUUAACAACAAAAUUCUUUCCAGUGCUUCAUAAAGCCGUUGACUUUUUUUCAUUUGAGAUGUGUGAAUAAGAUGCACAAAAAACAAGAACAGAUGAUAUUAUUCAAGCCAUUUGGUAAGAAAUGUCUGACAAAAACAAGAAAAUGCACUUAUUGAUUCCAAUGCAGUAAUUGGUU